GGUGUUGGGGCUGCAAUUUCCCGUUUGUAAUGCAAAAUGACUGAAAAUUGCAAAUUUUGCAAGGCUCUAUUUUCCUCAUUUUAUAACAUUUCGCAACGAAACUUUGGAAUAUUAUUAAUUUUGUGAUGCUCUUUCAAGCUGUGAUGAAAUAUUUGUCUAGACUUGCCUAGAUCAAAAUUUUGGUUAUAAGGGGAAAGGUCUAUUGGCAGUGUGAACCAGGCUUAAGCUACGCUUGUGCCAUUAUACGUACACGACUUAAGGGGCUGUUCUUGUCCGGGUUGAAUCGUGUCAUGAAAAUUUUUCCUGGCCAUAAAGGUCGUUUCAAUGAACUUUAAUUACUUUAUGCAGUUACUGGAAUCAAACCAAGCUAAUUCAACUUUGAAAUGUCAUUUUGGAUGUUUAAUUAAAGAAUCUGUGAUGAGAGCUUUAUUAUUCCGGUUAACCAGCUCGCAUCCAUAUGAACAGCUCCUAAAGUGCAUGUGUAUUUUUAGUAUAACAUACGUAAUUUUUUAUAUAUACAA